UACGUAGGGGGCAAGCGUUGUCCGGAUUUAUUGGGCGUAAAGAGCGUGUAGGCGGCCAGGUAGGUCUGCUGUGAAAACUCGAGGCUCAACCUCGAGACGUCGGCGGAAACCAUCUGGCUAGAGUCCGGAAGAGGAGAGUGGAAUUCCUGGUGUAGCGGUGAAAUGCGCAGAUAUCAGGAAGAACACGCGUGGCGAAGGCGGCUCUCUGGGACGGUACUGACGCUGAGACGCGAAAGCGUGGGGAGCGAACAGG
rnacentral:rRNA from 1 species